AUACCUUUCUCGGCCUUUUGGCUAAGAUCAAGUGUAGUAUCUGUUCUUAUCAGUUUAAUAUCUGAUACGUGGACCAUGUGUCCACUUUGAUAUUAAAUUUAUUUUUUGUGGGGGAGGGCUCACCAUCGUGGCUUGCCACUAGAGCUCUCGAGCGUCGCUUUGGCGUUGCACUACAGCCUUAGCCUGGCGCACCCCAA
rfam:Oryza brachyantha chromosome 7, whole genome shotgun sequence.